rnacentral:lncRNA from 1 species
AGGGGAUCAGACCUGGAUUGUAAGCUGUCUGUCUGUCUGCCUGUGCUUUCUAAAAGAACAACAGCUGCCCUGUUACUGCAUGUCCCAUGCCUUAGCUACUCACUAAGCCGUCUUACCCACCCCUUUUCAUUCCUUCUUUCCUUCCUCCCUCUCACCCUCCUGAGGCAGUGUCUCAUGUAGCUCUCAGACAGACCACAAACUCACUAUUAGCCAAGGAUGCCCUGCUGAACUGAGGUUCCUCCUGCCUUUACCUCCCAGGCUCUAGAAUUAGGCACGCACUACCACCCUUGGUUUAAGCUGUGCUGGGACUUAACCCAGGUCACCAGUAUGCCAGGCAAGCACUCUGCAACAGGGUUUCAUUCCAGCCCUGAGCCAGUGUUCCUUCCUACCAGAGCAGCUGCUCUGUUCAACACACGCUUCUGUCGCUUCUGUCGUUGUUUUAAGACAGGAUCUUACUGUGCAGCCUAGGCUGGUCUAAAUGCAUAAUAGGAUAGGCUUUUUUUUUGCCGUCCUACUGGGCAGUAUUUAACCAAAUAGCUUCUGCUUUUGAAAGCACCGCCCUCCAGAGACGUUUAUAUGAUUACAUGAUGUUUCGUUCUGCUUGUUAAAGCAAACCAGGCGGGACAGGAAGAGCGGUGCAGGUGCUCUGCUGCCUCCCACCACGGGGUCAGAUGGCGCACAGGUGUGUCAACAUUCUAAGUGAAUCUCAAAAGAUUCAUUUGCCCUGCGUAGGGCUGCCUCCAAGUCCUGGCUGUGCCCGAGGCAAUGGAUGUUCCUCCUUGUCUUAGGUUAACACGCCUGACUGUGCCAGGCUUUGGGUGCGUUCCUGUCAUUUGGUACGCGGGCGAAGUGCCCGAGGACUCUUAGGAAGAGGGGAGCAGGGAGUGGAUACCUGAUAGGCAAUGAAGAGUUCACCAGGUAAACUCUAGAGCCACAAGCCUAAGAAAAUGUUGCUUCUUUAUUAAUUAUCUUAGAGACAGGGUCUCAUGUAACCAAGGUUGACCUCAAAUUCCUUGUACUGUUGAAGCUGCCCUGGCCCUCCUGCCGCCACCUUUUGAGUUCUAGAUUUACAGGUGUGCUCCACCACACCUGGUGUCAGGAGGCGCUAGGGAUCAAACCCAGGGCUUCGCACAUCUAGGCAAACAUAUUACCAACCGAGCUAUGUCUUCAGACCCAUGUCAUCUUAGCUUCAGAAGAAGCCAAAUGCUCUAGUCAUAUGUAGGGACAGGGAAAGUGAUUUUUUUCAUUCACUUCAACCGUCGAUCUGUGAUUCCAGCAUCUUCUCCCCAGACCUCCAGGGAUUACCUCUGUCCUCUUAGGGACUAUCUAAUGGCAGAUGUGUGUCAGCACUUGCUAUAGGGGUGCUGUCAUUUGCACCAGACAAUUUAAUUUGGGUCCUACCAUGCUGUACAGAACCUUGAGGACAUCCCACCUAGAGAAGUUCAGUGAAUUCAUACAGGCAAUUGCUAAGCAACAGGAUUAAUUAGGAUCCUUGAGCUGUAGCUAAAUGUGCUGGGAAUCCAGGAAGCUCCAGGAUAGAGAUGCGGAUUGGACAGGAACUGGGCUGAGGCCAAGCCUUUACCUCCUCUUGCUCCCCAUCCCCACUUUGCCUGUCCCAGAGGCUUCCAUGCAGCCCCACCUGGCCUUGACCUCUCUCUGUACUGAAGUGAGCCUUGAACUCCCGAUCCUCCUAGAUUUACCUCCCCAGUCCUAGGAUGACACUCCGAGCCACCAAGCACCACUAAACAGCCAGAAAAGGCCUUUCCAAAUGGUUUUUGACGCUGGGGUUGAAACCAGACAUUCCUGCAAGGCAGGCGAGUCUACCUACUUACUCUUCUUGUUUCUGCCUCUUUCUCUCACAGGCAGGCUUUUCUGCGUUGUGUAAGAAAACAGUCACGGAAGCCAUGGUCGUCUCCUUCCUGACUUCCACAUUCUGUAGAAGACACCUGUUAGCCACGAGUGCCUGAGUGUGUGGAUGCUGCCCUGGCCCCAUUCUCAACGGGUAUCAUGGAUUGAGUGGUCACUCUUGAGAGCACUGGCUCCCACGGCCGGCUGCAGGGAACAACGCUGCGUGAGCUCGUUUGCCUACUUCCAGCAAUUUGGCUCCCAGGAAGGAGAUGAAGUAGCUAUUUGAGGCCCGCGCUUCCCCUCCAUCUUCGUAAGACAAUUUUGGGUGUUUUCUCCGGCGUGGCUAUGGGAUCUGAUUCUGGCUGCGACCUGGGUGACAUAUUCCUAGGAAGAGCCACAAGAAGCCAGUGAUGGUGUUGGGGGUGGGGUGGGACAGACAAGGCCUCUGGGGGUAAUGGCCUCUGUUAGAGCCCAGGCUGUGGGCCAGCUUAGAUGGCAUUGCUGCUCUGUGCAUAGGCGACACUGGCCCCUGCCUUAGUUUAGUGCCUCUGUGAUUGGUCUGAGCGUAUGGGUGUGGCCCUCACACUGCCCUACCUGGAUGAACACUAACCCAGACCUAACUGCUGGCCCCACAGAUCCUGGAGCACUGUUGUAGCCGCAUCCUCUCUCCCAUGGACCUGAGCCGUGUUUGCUGACUUUCUCUCAGGCACAGGCCCAUCCAGAGCCAGGAAGUCUCAUUAAGAACAGCGCACUCCAGUUCCUACAGAAAGCAUGGCCGCCCCAGGCCUUAAGCCAGCCAUCUUUCUCCCAGGAACGCAUCUGCAGCCCCGAGGGCCUCUCUGAAGAACCCUUGACCUGGGCUCCAACUUGCAGAAGGAAUUUCUUUCUGCAGGAAAGGAGUAGGGGAGCUGGGAUAUAAAGGAGACCCUCUGUGUCGGCCUGGCUGCCACAGUGAGGCUGUUCCCGGUGCGCAGUGCCCAUUCCUCUCUCAAGCUUCACCAGUCAUUCAAACUGUCCCUUGUUGGGCCCUACUGCCAAGCCCUAAAGGUAGAGGUGUGAGCAGGCUCAAGGGGACUCCCAGAGAGAAGCCGAGAUCAGGAAGGGCUUUUCAGUCAGAAGGGCUGGCGUGGCUGGCGUGGCUGACUGGCAGAGGUCAGGAAAGGCUUUUGGGAAGAGGUGACCAGAGAGGUUGGGUUCUGAGAAGAAAUCGAUAAAGUGCCCCCAGCAGGCCAAGGCUGCUGAGUCACAUCCAGGCCACAGGUGCUGUGAGGCUCAGCAGAACUGAAGCUGCGGCAGUGAUAGAGGUUAGACACUUGGACA